rnacentral:lncRNA from 1 species
UUUGAAUCUCAAAAAGCGCAAGCACACUAUAUUGUGGAAUGGAGGGAGUAAUACAAAGGCGUUGUUUGUUAACAGUGGCUGCUUUUUUGAGCAUUGCUAUACAGCCGAUACUUUUCAGACGACACACACACGAGGUGUCUCAUCCAACCAUCUGUACUUUUGUACCUAAUGCAUCGGGCAGUACUAUGCACCGGUGCGCCGGCCCAAAUUUGGGCCGGUCGUCCCACUACCGUCCGAUUUGACCUACUACAACCGUCAGAUCUCGAUUUCCUCUCGUUCUUCCCUUCGGACGGGAUCUGGAAAAAAAAGUCCCCAACCAGCCGGCGCGUUCCUCCCCUCGUCUCCUACGCUUGCCGGUGACCCGAGCCGCUCGUCGCUGCCUCCGCUGGUCGCCGUCAUCGGCCACUGUGUUUCCCAGCAAGAAAAAUCCCAACAAAAAUAAAACACCAUUGGUUUGCCGGUAGCAGCAAAAAACCAUGCGGGUUCCAGCAAAAAUUAUACCCCACUGCAGCUGUAAUGGUGCCGCUCCCAGUUCGGUUGCCGUUGCAUCUCGUUUUCCAGCAAAAUUGACCUCGCCCGUCGCAACAACUGACAUUGUUGGUUCCAGCAAAACAACUCACCGCUUCCAGCAAAUUGCAUCAUAGAUUCCAGCAAAAAAUUGUGUCUUCCUAGUUCCAGCAAAUUGGAUCACAGGUUCCAGCAAAUUGAAUCACUGGUUCCAGCAAAGAAAAUCACCGGUUGUAGCAUCACACUGCCUGUCACCGCGGUGCACGGGCGCACCACCGAUUGCAUCCCAAAAAAUCUGUCGCCGGGUUCCAGCAAAAACUGUCACCGGUUGUAGCAAAAAUUGAUACGGCAAAACAAGAUAGAAAGUUGCAAAUCUCCAGCAAAAACGAUCGCCAUUUCCAGCAAAAAAAAUCCGAUGGUGGUAGCAAAACAAAACAUCAGUUGUAGCAUCGCGCCGUUUGGGCGCAAAAUAAUGCAUUUCCUGCCGGGUCCAGCGCCCUUCACGAAGCCGGCAGCAGCACCGAUGUUAGCCGGUCCCAGCACCGGAACCUCGAGGGGUUCAAACGCCGGCAACCAACAGUCCCAGCAACUGCCGGGCGUAGAAUCUUUCAUGGGUUUGCUACGGCAGCCACCUCUUCCCUUGGUACCAUGGCUGUGAGAAGAGGUAGGUGAGGAUAUGUGUAGCGUGAGGAGGAAAAGGGAAAAAGGUAGGAGAUAAGGGAGAAGCAAGUGGAUGGACGAGAGCAGCCCAGGAU